rnacentral:lncRNA from 1 species
ACAGAUGGCUUAUUAGGGAAGUUGCGGAGGAGCAAAGCCACUCUCCUCCUACUGACUACGUUUACUACGCCAGCCUUAUAGAUGAUUCAGAGUCUGCAGAACGCUGUCUUUCUACCUAGCCGAUUUCCCCCUAUGGAGGUCGGAGACGCCAGUUUCUCCUGUUCCACAUCGAGAUUUUCCUGACAAGCACCCUGGGGGACCCUAGAGGGCAGCAAUCCUGUCCUAUUCUUCUGUGUGUUCCUGUGCCCAGCCCAAGGCCCCCAGAUGGAAGCUGCACGGAGUGUUUACUGAUUGAAGGAACGAAUGGAGAAGGGGCUCAUCUCUUGCUAAUCUUGAAGACAGUGCACGUGCACUCACAUAAAAUAACUACUCCCUUCAGCUAUAUAGACGCAUUUGACGCCAUGUCAGUGGACAGCCCUACCAAAGCCAGAAGCAAAAAUUCCUCUGUGGAAAAGAUAUGCUGGGCCCUAAUUAGUGGCCCCGUAACCUGGACAAUAUAUCAAGGAAGAGGAGGGAGAGAAAAGAAAGACAGAUAGACAAGCACUUUGGAGUUCCUGAGGAGGUGAGCAGUAGUAAACUGUGGAUGGGAUGCUGGACCAGGCUGGAGGUCAAGAAAAGGUAUUUCAGCAGAGGGUUUCAAAUCCAAAGAGGAGAAGUUUCAGAUACUAUACUUUAUACUAUAGUUAUAUGAAGAGGCGACCAAAAGAUAUGUAGCCAAAAGUCAAGGAAAAAAGACCAGCUCUCCUGGUGUAUGAGAAGACCAGUGAAUCCCAUGACCAUUGGCCCACUGCUUUACUUCCUGACUGUAAAGUGAGUUCCUUGGGCAGAAACAGUAUUGUAUGGGUUGUUCUGAUGGCACUUAUUAAGUCCACUGAUAGUGGUCCU